ensembl:miRNA
AGCUACAUUGUCUGCUGGGUUUCAGGCC